AGGAUGAACGCUGGCGGCGUGCUUAACACAUGCAAGUCGAACGGGAUCCCAGGAGCUUGCUCCUGGGUGAGAGUGGCGAACGGGUGAGUAAUGCGUGACCGACCUGCCCCAUACACCGGAAUAGCUCCUGGAAACGGGUGGUAAUGCCGGAUGCUCCAGUUGGAUGCAUGUCCUUCUGGGAAAGAUUCAUCGGUAUGGGAUGGGGUCGCGUCCUAUCAGCUUGAUGGCGGGGUAACGGCCCACCAUGGCUUCGACGGGUAGCCGGCCUGAGAGGGCGACCGGCCACAUUGGGACUGAGAUACGGCCCAGACUCCUACGGGAGGCAGCAGUGGGGAAUAUUGCACAAUGGGCGCAAGCCUGAUGCAGCGACGCCGCGUGCGGGAUGACGGCCUUCGGGUUGUAAACCGCUUUUGACUGGGAGCAAGCCCUUCGGGGUGAGUGUACCUUUCGAAUAAGCACCGGCUAACUACGUGCCAGCAGCCGCGGUAAUACGUAGGGUGCAAGCGUUAUCCG
rnacentral:rRNA from 1 species